UACGUAGGGGGCGAGCGUUGUCCGGAUUUAUUGGGCGUAAAGAGCUCGUAGGCGGCUUGGCAAGUCGGGUGUGAAACCUCCAGGCUCAACCUGGAGACGCCACUCGAUACUGCUAUGGCUAGAGUCCGGUAGGGGACCACGGAAUUCCUGGUGUAGCGGUGAAAUGCGUAGAGAUGUGGAGGAACACCGAUGGCGAAGGCAGCCUUCUGGGCCAACACUGACGCUCAUGCACGAAAGCGUGGGGAGCAAACAGG
rnacentral:rRNA from 1 species